CGGUGUCCAGGGGUGUGGUGGAUGUUCCUGUGCUGGAGGUGAGGUGUUGAACGCCGCCGUGACUGACGGGCUCUGGCUGCUGAUGAGCACGGCAGUGCCCCUCAGAUAAUGAUGGCUUCCCUCCUCCUGGAUUGGAGAAGAGCAGGCCCGUGAAAAGCUCCACCGCUUGUUUUUUUCAGAUGAUGUAGGAACACCAUCGGUUUGGAGCAAGAGAUCCCCGUGUUUGAUUACACAUCUUGGAGCAGAAGACCAAAGUGGUUUUAAUCUUUGUGUAGAACACACUCUGUGACCCUGACAGAGGGAAAGCAGCAGAGUCCUACCUCCUCCACGAAUGUGUUUAGAAACAGUAACUGAUCAAAGUCGAGCCGCCAGAGUUACUCCUCUCGCCACACGUUCCCGGCUUUGACAGACUGCAUCGUUCGAUGUGUUGAUGUACCAGGAUUUCAUACACUAUGAAUAUUCACGGCGCACAUUAAAUUAACCAGAUCUAUCCAGGCACUGGAAGUUCACUUCAUCAAGGGAUCCAAGUGCUCUGUAGAGGUUGCUGAUAUUUCCCUCUGUUCCUUGUGCCAGCUGCAAACUCCUACACAGUGAACUUUUUUCCCCGACCCACAAGUCAAAGUUCAGUGACCUCAGUAGUCAGAAUGGUGCAUAGAAGUGGAGAAUAUGACUUUGUUCUUCUAGACAGAUGUAAACAGGCUUCUUGCUUCUGCUGCUGCAAGGGUAAUGUGUCUCAUGCAGUACAGACCCACCACUCCAGCUCUGCAGCCCCCUGGACUCCAGUCCUCAGAUGCAAACACAGCAAUGAAGGUCCAAGUUACAACUUUCUUUAUGGCUUCUGCUCACAAUAUGGCUUAAAAUGUGGGAAACCAUUAAGUGUCAUUUUCUGUACUCAGACUGAUUGCUUGAGCUCCCCACCAACAGCAGAGACCUUAAGUGCAAGUGGCUCAGAGCUCUGGCAGAACAUGACACAAACACAAACUCUCAUUUCAGCUCAUACCUGAGGACCAAAUUAACUCAAAUCU